UACGGAGGGUGCGAACGUUAAUCGGAAUCACUGGGCGUAAAGCGCGCGUAGGCGGUUUGUUAAGUGGGAUGUGAAAUCCCCCGGGCUUAACCUGGGAAUUGCAUUUCAAACUGGCCGACUAGAGUACGGUAGAGGGAGGUAGAAUUUCCUGUGUAGCGGUGAAAAUGCGUAGAUAUCAGGAGGAACACCAAUAGCGAAGGCAGCUCGCUGGGGACGGUACUGACGCUAAGCGCGAAAGCGUGGGGAGCAAAGCAGGG
rnacentral:rRNA from 1 species